CGGACUGGACUAGAUCUCCUGCUCAAGGAAGGAUUAAUGUGUUAAACUUUUAGACUUAGAGAAUAUUUGAUUUUAGAGGGAAGAAGUUAGCCAAAACCUUGAUGGGGCCAUCCUUUCUCCCAAAUUCCCAAUUUUUCUCCCCCGUUUUGGAAGAGAGGAAGGGCUAUACUUAUAGCCUUGGGACUUGAGACAAUUCUCUUUUAUUUCCGAUGUGGGACUAAAAAACUAGAGAAAAUUGUUCAAAAAGGCUUGCUUUUGGACAAAGGGGUUUGGGCGCCAUGUGGCACUCCUUGGUUGCUCGGAAUAGAAUCUGAUACCGAACUUUGGAGUCAACUUUCAGGGGUCAUAUCUUUCAAACCAUUAGUCAGAAUUCGAUGUGUAAUAUGUCUUUAGAAAGCUCAAUCCGAGCACUAUCCAAUGAUGUGAGACACGAUUGUGGUCUCGACCGGAAACCUUUACGAAAAUAUGUAUAAUGUAGGGACCCGAAUUAUAUAAUGAAAGAGAGAAUCUGGCGUCGAUUCGCAUAGUUCUCGCAUCAAAGUGUAAUGUCCAACUUGAGUGGACAAACGACAAUAAUCCACAUCAAAUUCCAAUUUUUGAAAACAUUUGCUCUUGAAAGUUUAUAGGGGAAAAAUGGUCAUUUUCUACUCUAAGCUUGAAAACUCUCCAAGUCUAAAAUGUCCAACAUUUAAUUCUUCAUAUUGUCAUCAUUGCCGGGGGGUGACAAAAUUCGGUGUCUACACAUUGCACAAUAUUUUGCUUCUGCAUUGGAUUGGGAUACUAUUAGUUGCCUCUUCCUUCGCCAUGUAACCAAGUGGUCUCUAAGAAAUGUGAAAUACCUGGAAGUGGAGCGGCGAUCAUCAUUAGAACCAGCCCGAUUAGCAUCAAUAAAGGACUCAAGUUUCAAAUUGUUAUUGGAAAUAGAAUACUUUUUCCUGGUGCUGAUUUCAAGUAUUGCAGAAUCCUAUAGAAGACCUCAAGAUGUCUUUGGUCAUGGAGGAAUCAACUUACAACACCUACAACAUACGCAAUAUCUAGCCGAGUAUGUGAAAGGUAUAUCAAUAUUCCUACAAGGCUCUUAUAUCUCUCCUUAUCCAUUGAAUCUCCCUGUGUAGUUGAGUUGGUGGUUGACCUCUAUAGGAUAAUUUGAAGUCUUACAUCCAAGCAUACUUGUCUCUCUGAGGAGCUCUAGGACAUACUUUCUUUGGGAAAUGAAGAUUCCCUUACUAGAUCGGACUACUUCAAUCCCUAGGAAGUAUCUGAGCAGUCCUAGAUUUGUAGUUUCGAACUCUGAAGCCAACUGAACUUUUAACGAGGAGAUUUUCGUGUCAUUAUUUCCUAUGAUUACUAUAUCGUCAACAUAGACGAUAAGUAUAGUAACUUUGUCAGCCUUGUGUUUGACAAAUAGGGUGAGAUCAGCAUGACUUUGCAUGUAGUCAAACUUUUGCAUAACCUUCUUGAACUGGCCGAACUAGGCCCGAGGUUACUGGUUAAGGCCAUAGGGAGAUUUUUGAAACCAACACACCUUUCCAACUAUGGAUGACGAUGCAAAGCCUGGAGGAAUUUCCAUGUAUACUUCUUCCUCAAGAUCACUAUUAAGGAAUUUUUGACAUCUAGUUGUUAAAGAUUCCAUCCGAGGUUUGCAGCACAAGAUAGCAAUGCUUGAACAUAAUUCAUCUUUGUUACAUGGGAAUAGUGUCCUAGUAAUCAACGCCGUAGGUCUAUGUAAAUCCAUUGGCAACCAGUCUUGACUUGUAUCUCUCAAUGGUUCCAUCUGCCUUCUGCUUCACAGUGAAUACCCAUUUACACCCUAUUGGUUUCUUCCCUUUAGGACGGGGAACAAGCUCCCAAGUAUCAUUUUUCUUUAAGUCUUGCAUUUCUUCUACCAUAGCAUCCUUCCACUUAGGGUCUGUGAUAGCUUCUUUCCAGCCCUGUGGGAUAGACACAGAGGAUAACGAGGAAACAAAGGAAUGAUACGAUGGAGAUAAUGACUUAUAGGAAACAAAGUUAGAAAUAGGUUGUUGGAUUUAUAAUCUAACUUCCUUUCUAAUAGAAAUAGGAAGAUCAUCAUCAAAUGGAGGGGAGUUACCUAAUGGAUUUAUCUCAGAAGGCGGAGCUGGCUCAGGAGGCGUAGAUGGACAUGGUAGAUUGGAGAUAGGCUUUUCCUUUCUUCUGGAAUAUGUAAGCAUAUCCUUUUUCUCUAACACAGUAGAGGGUUCAUCUGGAAACGUUUUUGUUGUCUCUUCCUAAAUCCGAAUAAUGGACUCAGAGGAAUCUCACUAAACAUAAUCUUUUCCUCUACACUAUACCCUGAAGAGAUGAUUGAUAGUAGGACUCAUGUUCAUGAAAGUUCACAUCCAUGAUAACGAAGAGUCUACAAGUAGGGGGAUGAUAGCACUUGUAUCCAUUUUGAGAAGUAGAGUAACCAAGGAAGAGACAUCUAAAAGCCCGGGGAUCCAAUAUGGAUCGAGUGGGGGAGGAAUUGUGAGCAAAGCAAAUGCAGCCAAAGACACGGGGAGGUAGAUGAGAGGCAAGGGUAGGGUCUAGAAGUUGAUUGACUGGUGAUUUAAAGUCAAGGACACUAUAGAGUACCCGGUUUAUCAGGAAAGCAACAUUCAGAAUUACAUCCCUAAUAGAGUUUUGGAACGUGAGUGGUAAACAUCAAUGAUUGGUGACCUUAAGAAGAUGAUAGUUCUUUUUCUCUGGAAUACCAUUUUCCUUAGGAGUUCGAGCACAAGAGUUUUGGAACAAGAUGCCAUGCUGGUCAAGAAAUUGAAGGAAUUGACCAUCAAUAUACUUUGCCCUAUUAUCGCUCCAAAAGACCCGGACCUUGGCAUUGAACUGUGUUCGAAUCAUUGAAUGAAAGGGCUGGAAAAAAGAUAAAACUUCUGACUUAGUUCAUAGCAGAUAGCCCAAGUCAAACUGGUGAAUAUGGACCCCAUAAGUCAAUGAAUAAUAGAAAAUGGCAUUGUUCUUUUAUUAUUGCUAAUAGGAUAGAGGACUCGAAAAUGCUUUGGGAGCUGACAAAUGUCGCAAGUAAAUUUGUCCACAAUACAAUGUUUUAUUACAACAACAACAACAACAACAAACUCGGCCUUAUCCCAACUUAACGGGUCGGCUACAUGGAUCCAUAAAAGUAAAAGUAAAAAUAAAAAUUCCACAUAGAUUGGGGGAAGGGAGAGAUGAGAAGAUGAGAAAAGAAAAUAUGAGAAAAGAAAUGUGACAGUAAGAGGAAAGAGGCACAACCCAAGAAGUCACGAGAAUCUCAGGUACAUAGGUUGGCAACAUUGAUCCUUCCCCCCCCCCCCCCCCAAUAGGAUCUAUCCAAGGUCAUACUAGGAAAAGACCGAGACUUAAGGUAAUAAAUAACCCAAAACACGAAAUGAAGGGUGACCUAAACGGUGGUGCCAUUGAUACAGCUGGGUUAAGGCAUGAUCUUCCUGAAGAGAGUGAGAUAAAAUUAGAGGAGGUGUAGAAGUGAGAUCUAGAUCCAAGUAGUACAACCAUUUUGUACUACCAUAUCAAAUCGUUGCCCUCGUCACCAAAUCCUGAAAAACAAUGAGUGGAAUAGAAAUGAACAUGACAUUUAGGGUCAACGAUGAGACGAUAAAUUGAAAGUAAAUUGGCACAUAGAUUGGGAACAUGAGGAUAGACGACAAGAAAUGUUAGGGGAGCAAGAAACAAAACCUUUUCUGGAUAUUGCAAAUAGGGAGCCAUCUUCAACUCUUACCUUAAUUUUUAUCCAAACAAAGGAGAUAAGUUCGGAACAUGUUUGAGUUGCUAGUCAUACGGUCAAAUGCUCAAGAGUCAAGAAGCCAAGAGGCCCAAGAUGGACUAGAAGUAAAAGAAGCUAGGAAGAUACUUGAUUGGCUAGAUGGGAAGCCGGUGGAAUAGGUGUCAUGGUUGAAGGCACAGUACCAACCUAUGUCAUCAUACAUUGGAGAGAAACCUUUUGUUUUGAAGAAAAAGGAGAUGCAGCCAUAGGGGAUGAGUCGUCGGUGGUCUUAGAGAGAUGAGCCUGACGGGGAUAUCCCUAUUUCCCAACGUGCCCUCCUUAUUUAGGGCGGCCAUGUAGCUUCCAACAAGUCUCUCUGGUAUGUGGAGAGGAUGUCCACAAUAAUCACAUAUAACCGGGUCUUUAGGAUGACAAGGAUCAGUGGCAGAACCAGAGGAGUCCAAGGUCGGAGAAGCCUAAGGAGUAGUAACAAGAGCUGAUUGAGUGGGAACAACAGAAGGCAUCAUAACAGCGCGGCAACAAUCCUUGUGUUGAAUCUUAUUAUAUGCUUGGAGGAGUAUAGAAAAUGUAUCUCUGCCAAGAAUAUGUACAAGGAUCUAAUCAUAUUCCAAAUUUAAGCCAAUGAGGAAGUCAUAUAUCUGUUCCAUUUCAUGUUCCUUUUGGAAUGUAGUAGCAUCAGAAGUGCAGGUGAUAGGGACAGGGUGAUAGAAAUCCAACUGCUGCCAUAAAUUUUUGAUAGUCGCAUAAUAUGUAGAAAUAGACGGAUACUUCUGAGCGGUCUCAUGAACCUGACGGUGUCGCGUAUAAAUCUGACCAAAGUUGGAUGAGUAUUGAGCAAAAUAGGAAACCCAAGAAGGGUAUAGCUCUACAGAUGUAGGCAGUUGGCCGAACCACGUAUAUCUUGUGUAUUGUAUAUGUGAAUGUAUAUUUGAGUGCAUGGGUUGUGAAUGCUUGCAAGAUGGGUAAGUUUGUUUGAUAGACCUGGCACUGAGUGGUUGCAUGGUGGACAAGCAUGCGAUUGUGUGUGUUGAACCAAUUAUAGAGCCAUUGCAAACAAUUAUUUCUCGAAAAGAAUUUAUAGACAUUGUUCACCGUCCUCUCAGUGUCAACCUGGGAUUCACACAUGAUUCGCUUCAUUGUAGGUCUUUGUAGUUCAUUAUAUUUAGGGAAUUUACUUGAUGCUUGUUUUCCCCCCAUUUAAAUUAUAAAGGAACUUCAAUCUUCUGAGUAGUUGGUAAAUAAAUUAUAAUACAUUAGGGGAAAUGAAUGCUCCCCGGUCGUGCAGUCCCUGUGCCCAGACACAGAGGGUGGAGAAAUGAUGCCCCUACCCCUGUGAAACCUAAAAAACAGACCCUUGUUGCUGCCCAUGUGUGCCCCUCAUUGGCCCCCGCACUGGCGUAGGGGUGUGCGACCAGGGAGCGUUCUUUUCCCCAAUAAUUAAUACUCAAACUAGACAGAAGUUUGGAAUGUUUUCCAAAAUUCAUUCUGUGACUAUAAGUGAAUUAUUAUAACUUUGUUCUUGCCCCUACUGAAGGAAAUUAUUAUUAAUUAUAUUUUACCUAUUUUCUUCACUUCGAAUUGAAUCAAGGUUGCGCCCUCUCUUCCGCGCUUCCUCGCUCCCUCGCUCCCUUUCUUUUAUCAUUAUUAUUAUGUUUUCUCUAUUUAAGCAAAUUUUCAGGAGGAACAAUCAUUGGCUUUGAUGGUUACACUGAUGCAGAUGGAGGUGCUUUUGCUAAUUACACCAAACUGAAGGUUUUUCAGGCUUUUAUAUGUUUAAUCACUCAGAAAAGGAAUUAUUUUUUUGCCCGACUUGGGUGAAACACUUUAUGCAAAAACAAUAAAUAAUGAUUUACUUUCAUUACUUUCCAUGUUUAGACAGGAAAUCUGAAAUGUAGUAGUUCAGUCAUGAUAUGAAUAAAACUUACAAACCAUAUUGCUUGUAUGUAAUUCUGAGAGUAUGUUGUUAUUGUGGGUUAAUUGUUGGGAACUUCAGCCCCCAGGAGGGCAAAAGUUUUAAUAUAAAUUAUGCAAGUCUGAUGUUCUGAUAUACCUAUUAUGUUAAGUCAAUGUGGAUUCUCAUGUUGGGGAUUUGAAGGCUCUGUGUGUCUGUAGACUGCUGAGGUAGAUAAUCUAGCUUUCUUAUAGCUCCAAUGCUUGGUAUUUGAUGAGCUGAUAGAGCACUUGAGAAAUGAAAAUGAUAAGACUCUGCACAUGAAUUGACUUGAAAAAGCAAGUGGCUUCAAUUAGGCAUGUAUUAUUAUAUGAGCUCAUGAGCUUAUGCAUUAAUUGAGUUUAAUUUUCUGAAAAUAGUGGAAUUAUGAAACAUCUUAUUUGAUUUCAGAUAUUUUAAGGCAGAGCAAAUUGAUGAAUACCAAAAGCUUUUAAUGGAAGAAAAUUGAAAGAGUAAUAAACUUGUUUGGUAAAUAGAUUUUUUUUCUCUUUUUGUGUUAUGUGCGGUUUGUUUGUUUAUUAGAUAUUACUUGACAACGGUGAGAGAAGUUUACUAGUAUUGCUUGCUAGCUCUAAGAAAAUUUACCAUUUGAAGUUUUACAUGCAGAACCUUCCACACCUUUAUUGAAUCCUGAGUUCAAGGCUACUUGAUCCAUGAUUGCCUAGAAUUAUUUCCAUUGUCAUUUCAUCUUUUGAUUCGCUUUGGAUAUUUCCUCGGGUAUUAUGUAUGAGUAUAUUCAAUCUGUUUUGAAUAUGUUCCCCUGUUUCUUUCAUCUUUCCCACUUUCUUGUGCAUAUUUAAUAUAUCACCACAUUCUUUUCUCUUCUGUUUUUGGCGGUGGGGGUUGGGGAGGGAGUGUGGAGGGGAAUAAAAUUAGGUCUAAGUUUCCUAAUGGUAGUUUACAGGACAGUGUUGCUUACAUUUUCAGAAUAGUUGAAACUUCCCAAGAUUCCAAGGCUUUAAACUUACAAGUGAAGACAAUUGCACUUGUAUCAAUUUCUAAGCUAGAUAUGCCAGAACCUAUAGCUUGACUAGUAACUGUGCCUUAUGAUCUAUGUUGUGUAUAUUGAAGCAUCACCUGAUGGAGGUCACAAAUCCACUGAUUCAUGUGCCCAAAAUCAAGUCAUUAAUGUGAUUCUGAUCACGCAAGUGACUAAUUGUUGGGUGCUGUUUGGUAUUUCACUUGAUAAUCUGAAAGAAUGUUAAUUUUGGCUAGCUUAUUAUGGACAAGGACAAAUGCCAGACCACUUUGCAAACUGAUUCAAUCUUGUAUGGAAUAUAGAUAGAGCCAAUUGGGUACACCACAUCCAAAUUCCUCUCUAUUAGGUUCCUGUCAAUUGCCGGCCAAAUGACUACAGGAUCAUUGGUCUACUCUACCUCAUUCACCAUUUUGAACCUUAUACAAAAGGUUUUUCCAGACCAGCUUCUUUGUUGCUGAUGCACUAAGUAGAAGGCUUUUCGCCGUUAGGAGCUAUGUUUGUUGAAGCUGUUGGGUUCGAGGCUAUAAAAUGUCAGUACAAGAUGGAUCCUUAUUUCCUUUUUUUCCCCCCUCCUGUGUAGACAUCGUUUCAACCUUCAUCUAUCGCAUCUGAAUAAACUAUUUCUACUGCAUUUGAGGAAGCUAGCAAUAUCCAUGUGCAAAGGAUUCUCCUCAACUAAUGAUGGAAUGAGCUCUCAUCCACCUUCAUGAGUAUGAAGAUGCUAACUUGUUUACUGGUUCUGAGACUUGCCAACAGCAUAACCAAUCUGUGAGAAGCCCAACAACAUUGGAAAAACCUUUAAGCGGCAUCUUCAAGCUCUGUAGAUAUGCAACCUUUAAUCCAAAUCUUGGAAGACGUUCAAUUGCAGUUGUUAUUCAUGAUGAUUCGGGCACUUUUUGGCGGGUUAUCUGUCCCCUGAAGGUGCAAAUGAUGAUACACAAUAAUAAUAAUAAUUUUCCUUUUAAUAGUGAAUUAAAGUUCUUGUUGAUUUUGAUCAUUUUAACUUAGGCCCCGUUGGCUUGAAGGAUAAAAAGGGGUAGGAAAUUUGUAAGGGUGGGUCUCACAUGUGGGUUAGAUUGACAAGGAAGUGAAAGGAAAUGUAAUAAUGGAAUAUGUUGUUUUUAGUGGGAUGAAGUUUUAUGGGAAAGAGAAGAAAUGAAGGUGGGAUGGAAUUCAAUGGGAAAAUGAAAUUGGAGGGAUGAAAUUUUAUUAGAAGAAAUAGGAAGAGGGAUAGGGAGACACAAAACAACUUAGAAGUGAGUGGAAUAGAAAAAAUUAAGUGCCAUAUUUAACUCAUAUUUGUGAUAGAUUGUGAAUAAUAAGUAUAAAAUUUUCAUUCUUUU